CAGCCGCCGCGGUAAUUCGAAGGGGGCUAGCGUUGCUCGGAAUCACUGGGCGUAAAGGGUGCGUAGGCGGGUCUUUAAGUCAGGGGUGAAAUCCUGGAGCUCAACUCCAGAACUGCCUUUGAUACUGAAGAUCUUGAGUUCGGGAGAGGUGAGUGGAACUGCGAGUGUAGAGGUGAAAUUCGUAGAUAUUCGCAAGAACACCAGUGGCGAAGGCGGCUCACUGGCCCGAUACUGACGCUGAGGCACGAAAGCGUGGGGAGCAAACAGGAUUAGAUACCCCUGUAGUCCCUGUCUCUUAUAC
rnacentral:rRNA from 1 species